rnacentral:rRNA from 1 species
UACGAAGGGGGCUAGCGUUGCUCGGAAUCACUGGGCGUAAAGCGCACGUAGGCGGAUUGCUAAGUCAGGGGUGAAAUCCUGGAGCUCAACUCCAGAACUGCCUUUGAUACUGGCGAUCUUGAGUCCGGGAGAGGUGAGUGGAACUGCGAGUGUAGAGGUGAAAUUCGUAGAUAUUCGCAAGAACACCAGUGGCGAAGGCGGCUCACCGGCCCGGUACUGACGCUGAGGUGCGAAAGCGUGGGGAGCAAACAGG